rnacentral:rRNA from 1 species
AUUGAACGCUGGCGGCAUGCCUUACACAUGCAAGUCGAACGGUAACAGGUCUUCGGACGCUGACGCGUGGCGAACGGGUGAGUAAUACAUCGGAACGUGCCCAGUCGUGGGGGAUAACUACUCGAAAGAGUAGCUAAUACCGCAUACGAUCUGAGGAUGAAAGCGGGGGACCGUCGGUCCUCGCGCGAUUGGAGCGGCCGAUGGCCGAUUAGGUAGUUGGUGGGAUAAAAGCGGACCAAGCCGACGAUCUGUAGCUGGUCUGAGAGGACGACCAGCCACACUGGGACUGACACACGGCACAGACUCCUACGGGAGGCAGCAGUGGAGAAUUAUGGACAAUGGGCGAAAGCCUGAUCCAGCAAUGCCACGUGCAGGAAGAAGGCCUUCGGGUUGUAAACUGCUUUUGUACGGAACGAAAAAGCUUCUCCUAAUACGAGAGGCCCAUGCCGGUACCGUAAGAAUAAGCACCGGCUAACUACGUGCCAGCCGCCGCAGUAA